rnacentral:rRNA from 1 species
GCUUGUCUCAAAGAUUAAGCCAUGCAUGUCUCAGUACAAGCCAAAUUAAGGUGAAACCGCGAAAGGCUCAUUAAAUCAGUUAUGGUUCCUUAGGUCGUACCCACAAUUACUUGGAUAACUGUGGUAAUUCUAGAGCUAAUACAUGCAAACAGAGCUCCGACCGGAGACGGAAGGAGUGCUUUUAUUAGAUCAAAACCAAUCGGUGGCGGGUUUACACUCGUCAUCGUACAACUUGGUGACUCUGAAUAACUUUACGCUGAUCGCACGGUCAUCGCACCGGCGACGCAUCUUUCAAAUGUCUGCCUUAUCAACUGUCGAUGGUAGGUUCUGCGCCUACCAUGGUUGUAACGGGUAACGGGGAAUCAGGGUUCGAUUCCGGAGAGGGAGCCUGAGAAACGGCUACCACAUCCAAGGAAGGCAGCAGGCGCGCAAAUUACCCACUCCCGGCACGGGGAGGUAGUGACGAAAAAUAACGAUACGGGACUCAUCCGAGGCCCCGUAAUCGGAAUGAGAACACUCUAAACCCUUUAACGAGGAUCAAUUGGAGGGCAAGUCUGGUGCCAGCAGCCGCG